UACAGAGGUCUCAAGCGUUGUCCGGAUUCAUUGGGCGUAAAGGGUGCGUAGGCGGCGGGGUAAGUCAGGUGUGAAAUCUCGGGGCUCAACCCCGAAACUGCACUUGAUACUGCCUUGCUCGAGUACUGGAGAGGAGAUUGGAAUUUACGGUGUAGCAGUGAAAUGCGUAGAUAUCGUAAGGAAGACCAGUGGCGAAGGCGAAUCUCUGGACAGUUACUGACACUGAGGCACGAAGGCCAGGGGAGCAAACGGG
rnacentral:rRNA from 1 species